AGAGUUUGAUCAUGGCUACAGGAUAAACGCUGGCGGCGUGCCUAACACAUGCAAGUCGAACGAUCCCGCAAGGGAGAGUGGCGGAAGGGUGAGUAACACGUGGGAAUCUACCUCCUCGCAGGGAACAACCUCUCGAAAGAGAGGCUAAUACCCAAAAGGGUCAGAAAUGAUCAGAGUCGAAAGGCGUGAGGAGAGGAGCCCGCGGCCCAUCAGCUAGUUGGUGAGGUAAUGGCUUACCAAGGCUACGACGGGUAGGGGAUCUGAGAGGAUGUCCCCCACACUGGAACUGAAACACGGUCCAGACGCCUACGGGUGGCAGCAGUGAGGAAUACUGGACAAUGGGCGAAAGCCCGAUCCAGCAACGCCGCGUGGAGGAUGAAGGCCUUCGGGUCGUAAACUUCUUUAGAGGGAGACGAGAAAGGACGGUAUCCCUAGAAUAAGCGACGGCAAACUACGUG
rnacentral:rRNA from 1 species